rnacentral:rRNA from 1 species
UCGGGAAUAUUGCGCAAUGGAGGAAACUCUGACGCAGUGACGCCGCGUGCAGGAAGAGGGUUUUCGGAUUGUAAACUGCUUUAGACAGGGAAGAUGAUGACAGUACCUGUAGAAUAAGCUCCGGCUAACUACGUGCCAGCAGCCGCGGUAAUACGUAGGGAGCAAGCGUUAUCCGGAUUUAUUGGGUGUAAAGGGUGCGUAGACGGGAAGGCAAGUUGGUUGUGAAAUCCCUCGGCUUAACUGAGGAACUGCAACCAAAACUAUCUUUCUUGAGUGCUGGAGAGGAAAGUGGAAUUCCUAGUGUAGCGGUGAAAUGCGUAGAUAUUAGGAGGAACACCAGUGGCGAAGGCGACUUUCUGGACAGUAACUGACGUUGAGGCACGAAAGUGUGGGGAGCAAACAGGAUUAGAUACCC